GAGACCAUAUAGUGUUGAAACACUGGUUUCCAUACAAUCACUGAAGUUAAGCAAUGUCAAGCCUGGUAAGUAUCUUGAUGGGUGACCAUUAGGGAAUACCAAAUGC